rnacentral:rRNA from 1 species
GACGAACGCUGGCGGCGUGCUUAACACAUGCAAGUCGAACGGAAAGGCCCUGCUUUUGUUGGGUGCUCGAGUGGCGAACGGGUGAGUAACACGUGAGUAACAUGCACUUGACUUUGGGAUAACUUCAGGAAAAAGGGGCUAAUACCGGGUAUGAGCUCCUGCUGCAUGGGGGGGGAUGGAAAGAUUCGGCGGUGGGGGAUGUACUCGCGGCUUAUCAGCUGGUUGGUGGGGUAGUGGCUUACCACGGCUUUGACGGGUAGCCGGCAUGGGAGGGUGACCGGCCACAUGAGGACUGCGAUACGGCCCAGACUCCUACGGGAGGCAGCAGUGGGGAAUCUUGCACAGUGGGCGGAAGCGUGAUGCAGCAACGCCGCGUGCGGGAUGACGGCUUUCGGGUUGUAAACCGAUUUCGCCUGUGACGAAGCGUGAGUGACGGUAAUGGGUAAAGAAGCACCGGCUAACUACGUG